rnacentral:rRNA from 1 species
UGAGGAAUUUUGCGCAAUGGGAGCAAUCCUGACGCAGCAACGCCGCGUGGGUGAAGAAGGCCUUCGGGUCGUAACGCCCUGUCAGGUGGGAAGAAGGGUCCUAUCAGGAAAGGGGUGGGAUUUGACGGUACCACCAGAGGAAGCACCGGCUAACUCCGUGCCAGCAGCCGCGGUAAUACGGAGGGUGCGAGCGUUAUUCGGAAUUACUGGGCGUAAAGCGCGUGUAGGCGGGGGAGCAAGUCUGAUGUGAAAGCCCCGGGCUUAACCCGGGAAGUGCAUUGGAAACGGUUUUGCUUGAGUACUGGAGAGGAAGGGGGAAGUGCCGGUGUAGAGGUGAAAUUCGUAGAGAUCGGGAGGAAUACCAGUGGCGAAGGCGCCCUUCUGGACGGUUACUGACGCUGAGACGCGAAAGCGUGGGGAGCAAACAG